rnacentral:rRNA from 1 species
AUUGAACGCUAGCGGGAUGCCUUAUACAUGCAAGUCGAACGGAGUGGCGAACGGGUGAGUAAUGUAUCGGAACGUGCCCAGUAGCGAGGGAUAACUACGCGAAAGCGUAGCUACUACCGCACACCAUUGGAGUGGCAGGUAUCGGAUUAGCUGGUUGGUGGGGAAACGGCUCACCAAGGCGACGAGCCGUAGCUGGUUUGAGAGGACGACCAGCCACACUGGGACUGAGACACGGCCCAGCCUCCUACGGGAGGAAGCAGUGGGGAAUUUUGGACAAUGGGGGAAACCCUGAUCCAGCCAUCCCGCGUGUGCGAUGAAGGCCUUCGGGUUGUAAAGCACUUUUGGCAGGAAAGCGGUACCUGCAGAAUAAGCACCGGCUAACUACGUGCCAGCCGCCGCGGUAAUAC